rnacentral:snoRNA from 1 species
GGCCAGGGAUGAGUGCUGGCAUGUAUUAUCUGAGCAGAACUGAUGAUUCACUGCUUUAGCUCUAGAAUUACUCUGAGGCCCA